rnacentral:rRNA from 1 species
GUGGGGAAUAUUGGGCAAUGGGGGCAACCCUGACCCAGCGACGCCGCGUGGGUGAAGAAAUCCCUCGGGAUGUAAAGCCCUGUUGUAUGGGAAGAGCAGGAGACGGUACCAUACGAGGAAGCCCCGGCAAACUACGUGCCAUCAGCCGCGGUAAUACGUAGGGGGCAAGCGUUGUCCGGAAUUACUGGGCGUAAAGCGCACGCAGGCUGAAUUAUAAGUCGGUAGUCAAAUACGGAGGCUCAACUUCCGGAUAUCUAUCGAUACUGUAAAUAUAGAGUAUGUGAGAGGGGAGCGGAAUUCCCGGUGUAGCAGUGAAAUGCGUAGAUAUCGGGAGGAACACCAGUGGCGAAGGCGGCUUCCUGGCACAAUACUUACGCUCAUGUGCGAAAGCUAGGGCAGCGAACGGGAUUAGAAACCCCAGUAGUCC